rnacentral:rRNA from 1 species
GAGGGGCAGCGGGGGCGUAGCAAUAUGCCUGCCGGCGACCGGCGCACGGGUGAGUAACACGUAUGUAACCUGCCCUAUGCAGGGGGAUAACCCGGAGAAAUCCGGCCUAAUACCGCGUAACACCUUUUGGGAGCAUUCCCGGGAGGUUAAAGGAGAGAUCCGGCAUAGGAUGGACAUGCGUCGCAUUAGGUAGACGGCGGGGUAACGGCCCACCGUGCCGACGAUGCGUAGGGGUUCUGAGAGGAAGGCCCCCCACACUGGUACUGAGACACGGACCAGACUCCUACGGGAGGCAGCAGUGAGGAAUAUUGGUCAAUGGCCGAGAGGCUGAACCAGCCAAGUCGCGUGAGGGAAGAAUGUCCUAAGGAUUGUAAACCUCUUUUGUCGGGGAGCAAAAAGGCUCUGCGGAGUCGUAUUGAGAGUACCCGAAGAAAAAGCAUCGGCUAACUCCGUGCCAGCAGCCGCGGUAAUACGGAGGAUGCGAGCGUUAUCCGGAUUUAUUGGGUUUAAAGGGUGCGCAGGCGGCGUGUCAAGCAAGCGGUAAAAUAGCGGGGCUCAACCCCGUCGAGCCGUUUGAACUGGCGCGCUUGAGUUCAGGCGAGGUAGGCGGAAUUCGUGGUGUAGCGGUGAAAUGCGUAGAUAUCACGAAGAACUCCGAUUGCGAAGGCAGCUUACCAGUCUGCGACUGACGCUCAGGCACGAAAGUGUGGGUAUCGAACAGGAUUAGAUACCCUGGUAGUCCACACAGUAAACGAUGAGCGCUAGGUGUCCGGGUCGCAUGAGACUUGGGUGCCCGAGCGAAAGCGUUAAGCGCUCCACCUGGGGAGUACGCCGGCAACGGUGAGACUCAAAGGAAUUGACGGGGGCCCGCACAAGCGGAGGAACAUGUGGUUUAAUUCGAUGAUACGCGAGGAACCUUACCCGGGCUCAAACGACUCAGGAAUAUAUUGGAAACGAUGUAGCCAGCAAUGGUCUGAGUCGAGGUGCUGCAUGGUUGUCGUCAGCUCGUGCCGUGAGGUGUCGGCUUAAGUGCCAUAACGAGCGCAACCCCUACCGCCAGUUGCCAACGGGUAAAGCCGGGAACUCUGGCGGGACUGCCGGCGCAAGCUGCGAGGAAGGCGGGGAUGACGUCAAAUCAGCACGGCCCUUACGUCCGGGGCGACACACGUGUUACAAUGGCAGGUACAGCGGGAAGCCACCUGGUGACAGGGAGCGGAACCCGAAAGCCUGUCUCAGUUCGGAUUGGAGUCUGCAACUCGACUCCAUGAAGCUGGAUUCGCUAGUAAUCGCGCAUCAGCCAUGGCGCGGUGAAUACGUUCCCGG